GGGAGCCUGAGAAACGGCUACCACAUCCAAGGAUGGCAGCAGGCGCGCAAAUUACCCAAUCCUGACACGGGGAGGUAGUGACAAUAAAUAACAAUACGGGGUUCUUUCGGAUCUCGUAAUUGGAAUGAGUACAAUUUAAAUCUCUUAACGAGGAACAAUUGGAGGGCAAGUCUGGUGCCAGCAGCCGCGGUAAUUCCAGCUCCAAUAGCGUAUAUUAAAGUUGUUGCAGUUAAAAAGCUCGUAGUUGAAUUUCGGGGUUAGUAGGUUGGUCAUGCCUCUGGUAUGUACUGAUCUCACUGAUUCCUCCUUCCUUAUGAACCGUAAUGCCACUAAUUUGGUGUUGCGUGGAAUUUGGACUGUUACUUUGAAAAAAUUAGAGUGUUUAAAGCAGGCUAACGCUUGAAUACAUUAGCAUGGAAUAAUGAAAUAGGACGUUCGAUCUUAUUUUGUUGGUUUCUAGGAUUGACGUAAUGAUUAAUAGGGAUAGUUGGGGGCAUUAGUAUUCAAUUGUCAGAGGUGAAAUUCUUGGAUUUAUUGAAGACUAACUACUGCGAAAGCAUUUGCCAAGGAUGUUUUCAUUAAUCAAGAACGAAAGUUAGGGGAUCGAAGACGAUCAGAUACCGUCGUAGUCUUAACCAUAAACUAUGCCGACUAGGGAUCGGAUGAUGUUAAUUUUUUAAUGGCUCAUUCGGCGCCUUACG
rnacentral:rRNA from 1 species